rnacentral:rRNA from 1 species
AUUGAACGCUGGCGGCAGGCCUAACACAUGCAAGUCGAGCGAGCGGCGGACGGGUGAGUAAUGUAUGGGGACUGCCCGAUAGAGGGGGAUAACUACUGGAAACGGUAGCUAAUACCGCAUACUAUCGGAUAACCCAUAUGGGAUUAGCUAGUAGGUGAGGUAAUGGCUCACCUAGGCGACGAACCCUAGCUGGUCUGAGAGGAUGAUCAGCCACACUGGGACUGAGACACGGCCCAGACUCCUACGGAGGCAGCAGUGGGGAAUAUUCCGCAAUGGACGAAAGCCUGAUGCAGCAAUGCCGCGUGAAUGAAGAAGGCUUUCGGGUCGUAAAGUACUGUUGGUCGGGAGGCGGUACCGACAGAAGAAGCAACGGCUAACUCCGUGCCAGCAGCCGCGGUAAUUC